CUUUAUAUUGACAAAUAAUUUUGCCCUGCUCAAUUGUUUUGCCUUCAGAAAAAAAAAUCAAAAGACUCACCAGCAUUUUAUCCAUGGAAGCAGGAAUAGAUAACUCAACAUCUUAUUAUUUGAGUUGUAAAAUAGCUUCGCUCGAUGCUAAGGACAGAAUGUCUCUAUCAUCACAUAGACGAAGUGUAUUCUCCUCAAAGUGUUGAAUUUUUGGGCGGAAAGUUUUACGGAUGUGAGGAUAAUGGAUCGGCCUAAACAAUCUUGUGUUUUAUGGUUAAAAGUAUCCUAGAACCAGGAUGAACACUUGGAAGCUCAUUAUCACCAUGUUGUCAAAAUUUAUCAACAAGAAAUGGGCCUAGGAAUAAAAUAUGGACAUCAAUUCUCUCACCAAGUCUUAUUUCCUCAACCUAUUGAAAAAAAUAAAGUCAGUUUAUCAUUGAAGUUAUAUCAUGAUUCUACUAUAGAAGCCUUGAAACAUUAUGAAAGUAGCAAUGACUUCAAGAAAGCCUAUUUGGAAACUGCAAUGCUCUUUAAAAUAUUCCGUAAAUUUUGGAAUUGCGUCAAUGUUAAUUCUUUGAUUUCUAGCAUCAAGUUGAGAGACGAAAGAAUGCCCCCAAUCACUCAUGAGAAUAGGGAACAGAUCGAUUUCUUAUUAUCGUUGUAUAAUUGGCUUAAAUCACAGCAAGAUAUGUCUCUUCACAAGAAAGGACUGUCUUCCGAAACAUUUUUGGCUGCCUUACAAACAUCAAGGGGACUGGAUGAACUAUCCAAUUAUCUUUUAAAUGAGACAGAAGCCAAGUAUAUUUUAUUACGGAAGAUCUAUUCUGACCCACUUUAGAGGCGCUUUGAAUGGUAUAAUCAGCUUGGGGGGAGGGAACUAUUUCUUAAGUUGUCGACAAUUUCUUGAAAGUGAAUAGAAAAUCAGAAUCAACUCUUUAUUGGUGACUAGCAUCCAUUCCUUCACUUCUCUCCGCAAUACUUUAUUGAACAACAAAAUGGUGGUAGACUCAAAUAAUAUUCAAGUUGAUAAAACAGAAUUUCUUCGCAUGAUAUCAAAUUUUGAAUUGUCAAAUUGUAGUCAAGUUGAAGGUGUGGAAAAUAUACUCUGCUAUAUUGGUGGAUAUAUCUCAUAUGCGAUAUUCAAAAAAGGAGUAAAUGAAUGUUGUAGGGAUUUGCUUAGCUCUUCUAUUGAUCUUACUAUCUUAAUCUAUGAAAAUGGUAGCUCUUAAAUUAUUGAUUCUUUUUUUAAUGAACUUAAUAGCGGUGGACUUGUGAGACCGAGUGAUUUUAUGUUUCUGACUGUAGUUCAUAUUUAUAACUUACAAAAGUUUAUAUUUGAUUGUGAUAUUAUAAAAAAUUGUCUUUUUUCUUAUAAACAUCCAAGAAAUGUAUUUAUAUCUUGUCUAAAAGAAUUGCUGAUGUGUCAAGACCAUGCGACAUGGAUAAUCCAGAGCAUGUGUGCCAAUGGACAGGAAUUUUUAACUUUUUUGAAUUUUGUUGCUUCUAAAUUGUUUGAAAAAACCAAGAAAUAAUUAAUCUGGGAAAAGAAUUAAAAAAGUAAGUGCAUUGUUGUAAUUUUUGUAUUUUGUAUGGGUUUCUAUGUAAUGUAUGGACAUAAAUAAAGUUAUAAUUACAA
rnacentral:lncRNA from 1 species